rnacentral:lncRNA from 1 species
AAAGAAAAGCCACGUAGUUAGUCUCCUUCAUCAUUUUCCUAUACCUCUUGCUUUUACAAACCCUAGCCUCUUUCCUUCUCCCUCUCCAACAGAGCUCCUUUCCUUAAUUUUGUAAUUCUUAACGUAAUAUCUAAUGGUUGGCCCGUAUCUAUCGAGGUAUUCCACAAAUCUAUCCCUCACAACUAUUUUGUAUUUUUUCAAAAUUAAAUAAAAAGAAUUAAUCGAGAUGGCUUAUGGUGUUUUUGUGGGUGCGGUUUGAUUUGGGAUAAUUGAUCGCAGAAAGGGAUUAAAUACCAGAUCGACGGCUUUUGAUGGCAAUUCAGAUGAGUUUUAGGUGUGAAUCGAGCACGACUUUGACGAGGAGGUCAGCUGUCUUCGCAAGCAAGUUCGAUGGUUAUGUGAUGUAGUUUUUCUUUUUAAUUCCUUCUUUAUUGUUCUCUGUGGGGGUUAAUUGCAUAAAAUGUUGCCAAACUAUGCUACUUGUAUCAAAUUUGUUACCAAACUUUAAUUUGUUUCAAAACAAAUACUCCUACUAAACUUGUAUUUUUCGGUA